AGAGUUUGACCCUGGCUCAGGAUGAACGCUAGCGAAAUGCCUAACACAUGCAAGUCGAACGGAUCUUGCGUCGUAGCAAUACGUAGUAAGAUUAGUGGCAAACGAGCGAGUAACGCGUGCUUAACCUGCCCCGAAGAUGGGAAUAACUGCAGAGAUGUAGCUAAUUCCCAAUAUGCUCACGAUGGUGAAAUUCCGAUGUGAGGAAAGAUUUAUCGCUUCGGGAGGGGGGUGCGUCCUAUCAGGUAGUUGGUAAGGUAAUGGCUUACCAAGCCUAUGACGGGUAACCGGUCUGAGAUGAUGUCCGGUCGCGAUGGGACUGAGAUACAGAUGAUGUCCGGUCGCGAUGGGACUGAGAUACGGCCCUUACUCCUACGGGAGGCAGCAGUGGGGAAUCUUGCACAAUGGACGAAAGUCUGAUGCAGCAAUUUCGCGUGAAGGAUGAAGCAUUACGGUGUGUAAACUUCUUUUUUGGCAGAAGACGAAUGACGGUAUGUCAAGAAUAAGAGACGGCUAACUACGUGCCAGCAGCCGCGGUAAUACGUAGGUCUCAAGCGUUAUCCGGAUUUACUGGGCGUAAAGUGUCCGUAGUCUGAUCUGUAAGUCUGUUUUCAAAUCCUACGACUCAAUCGUAGAAAGGGAGUGGAUACUGCAAUUCUGGAAGUAUCUGGGGGUUAGUGGAAUUUCCGGUGGAGCGGUGAAAUGCGUUGAUAUCGGAAGGAACGCCGAAAGCGAAAGCAGCUAACUAUAGAAUACUUGACGAUGAGGGACGACAGUUUGGGGAGCAAACAGGAUUAGAUACCCUGGUAGUCCAAACCGUAAAUUAUGCUUGCUAGAUGUUUUUAUCAGUUUACUGGUAGGAGUGUCGUAAUCUAACGAGUUAAGCAAGCCGCCUGGGUAGUAUAUUCGCAAGAAUGAAACUCAAAGGGAUAGGCGGGGGAACACACAAGCAGUGGAUUAUCUAGAUUAAUUGGAUAAUAAGCCAAGAAUCUUACCUAGGAUUGACAUGUAUUGUGUCUCAGGUGAAAGCCUGAUAUCCGUAGCAAUACGGAGCUUUACACAGGUGGUGCAUGGUCGUCGUCAGCUCGUGCCGCAAGGUGUCUAGUUAAGUCUGGAAACGAGCGCAACCCUC
rnacentral:rRNA from 1 species